rnacentral:snoRNA from 1 species
CUGCUGUCAAUGAAGCUGACCAUGCUCCUCUCCUCAUGGCAGCCCAGUGUGCAAUGACUACAAAUAGCAGCCUCCUUGGGCAGUAUACACAGCCUGUUGCUUGUACGGGUUGCUCUGAGUGACCUUGCAGACAGCC